AUUGAACGCUGGCGGCAGGCCUAACACAUGCAAGUCGAGCGGUAACACAGGGAGCUUGCUCCCGGGUGACGAGCGGCGGACGGGUGAGUAAUGUCUGAGAAACUGCCUGAUGGAGGGGGAUAACUACUGGAAACGGUAGCUAAUACCGCAUAACGUCGCAAGACCAAAGAGGGGGACCUUCGGGCCUCUUGCCAUCAGCUUUGCCCAGAUGGGAUUAGUUAGUAGGUGGGGUAACGGCUCACCUAGGCGACGAUCCCUAGCUGGUCUGAGAGGAUGACCAGCCACACUGGAACUGAGACACGGUCCAGACUCCUACGGGAGGCAGCAGUGGGGAAUAUUGCACAAUGGGCGCAAGCCUGAUGCAGCCAUGCCGCGUGUAUGAAGAAGGCCUUCGGGUUGUAAAGUACUUUCAGCGGGGAGGAAGGUGCUGAGGUUAAUAACCUCAGCAAUUGACGUUACCCGCAGAAGAAGCACCGGCUAACUCCGUGCCAGCAGCCGCGGUAAAAC
rnacentral:rRNA from 1 species